GGACUGAGGAUUGGAGAACUGGUCUGCCUCAACGUGGGAGGGAAGAGGGGACACUUUGCGCUUGGUGCCCAUGCCCCACCCUUUCCGAGGAGCUGUCAGAUGCUAGGCCCUGUGAUCCCAGGUGGAGGCCCAGCAAGGUGGAAUCAGAGGUUUCUGGCUGACUCGGUGGGUGCUUUGAACCAGGAAAGGACAAGAAAGAGGAUGGGAAGGACUGAUCCACAUUCCCACCAGGAAGUUUAGCAGAACCCCCGCGUGCCACCUGGACCCCUUGGAAGGACCUGGCUCAGGCUGGACCACCUCUUGAGAGGCAGGAGCUCUGGAUUUGAUCAAGAAUUCUUUGCUGAGCAUGGUGCCUCAUGCCUAUAAUCCCAACACUUUGGGAGGCCAGUGUGGGAGGAUCUCUUGAGCCCAGGAGUUCAAGACUAGCCUGGGCAACACAGAGAGACCCCAUCUCUAAAAUAAUAAUAAUAAUAAAAUAAAAAAUUAGCAGGGCAUGGUGGCAUGUGCCUGUAGUCCCAGCUACCCAGGAGGCUGAGGCAAGAGGAUGGCUGGAGCCUGGGAUGUUGAGGCUGCAAUGAACUGUGAUUACCCCACUGCACUCCAGCCUGGGCAAAAGAGCGAGAGACCCUGUCUCAAAUAAUAAUAAUAAUAAUAAUCUUAUUUUGGAGAAUAAAGAGACCUCUGGAUUUGAGGUGCCAUUUGGGUAGAAAGAAAAGACGUUUACACCGAGAAAUAGUCUGUGUUGCCCUGAAGGAGCAGAGGGAUGCAUCGCUGGAGGUGACCUACAGUUGAAGAAGACUCAUUAUGACAGACCUUGUCCUUCUUCCUUGUGGAAAGUGUUUCCUCUGCUGCUACUGCUCAUGAGACUCUUCCCCCUCCCUGUCCCAGGGAACCAAAGGGCUUUCUACCACACCCUUUCUUGCCCCCCGCCUCCCAUGUCUGCUGUGCCUUUGUACUCAGCAAUUCUUGUUUGCUCCAUUAUCUUCCAGCCGGAUACAGAGUGAAUAGUUAACCACACUUAGGUCAAAUAGGAUCUAAAUUUUUGUUCCUGCUCCGUGUAAAGAGGCCAGUGUUUGUGUGUUGCAAGCAGCCUUGGAAUAGUAACUCUUCUCAUUUGUUUGGGAUCUGGCCACCAAGUUCCAGAAUGAUACACGGAUCAGUGCAGAAGUUCAUCAGGCUCUCGGACCUUAGGGCUGUUGGAGAAGGCUUCAGCAGCAGAACUGAUGGUGAAGGCUCGUGUUCUCCAUCCUCAACUUUCUUUGCUUCGAUCAUACACAAGAAUACAUUUGGAAGGGCAAAAAAUGAACACUGUCGUUCAUUGCAGCCGUGUUUUGUGACACAGAUGCACAGUCUGCUGUGAAGACCUUCUCUCAAGUGGCAUUUGGGAGUCCAUGCCAGAUCAUGGUGCUUCAUGAGAGACUGACAGCUAUCAGGGGUUGUGGCACUUAGUGAGGACUCUCCUCCCCCAGUGUGUGCUGAUGACACAUACACACCUGACAAUAGCUUGAGUCUUCUCUGUUCCUUUUACUCUGUAGCCAACAUACACAUGAUUUAAAACCCUUUCUAAAUAUCUAUCAUGGUUCAUCCUUGUCCAAAUGCAGAGUCAGAGCUAUUUGUACUUCAUUAUUAUUUCCAAGGCGAAUAGUUGGCUUUCUUUUUGCAAAAAUAAUUAAAGUUUUUGUAUGUUGCA
ensembl:lncRNA LINC00511 long intergenic non-protein coding RNA 511